UUGGUGAUUAAAUUGGGAUGCUUUUAGAUACAACUCUUCUAUCAGUAGUUUUUCAAAUUUGUACUUGUGCCAAUGUCUUAGGACAGUUUUGGUCUGUCAUGUAGAAGAAGAAGUUAUUAUUGAAAAGUUUACUGACUUUAGGUACUAAGUAUAGAACAGAAUAGACAGAUGGACGAACACACUCCAGCCAAUAACGAUUGGCCACAUCAGCAAAACAAUCAUCCCUUUUGAGCCAUGGCAUUUGUCCUUUAUAUAUAUGUUAAAGAAAUUGAAGAGAGAAAAAGCUUCUGAAAUUGAAGAGAGAAAAAGUGCAGUUUUCUUUGUGAGGAUGAGGAAGAAGACGAGAAGAAAGAGAAAGUAAAGGGUUAGAGAGAGGGAGUCGGAUGGUUAAUGAAAGGAGUGGAGAAAAGGGAACCCGCUACCAUCACUGAAAAGUUGGGAGCAGGUAACCUUCUCCCAUCAAUCACAUCUGCAUUUGUUUGUUUGAAAAAGAAGGUGGAAGGUUGUAUGUUUCUCUAAUGCUUCUCAAAGAUGACUCCGGAUCAGAGUGAGUGUUUUCCAUGAUUUUCCCCAUCUUUGAGCUCUUAAUUCUUUUUCUCACCUGCCUUUGCAUUUUUUAUUUGUUUAAUUCAUGUUCCCAAUUUCCUUUUUAUCUGUUUUUUUGUCUCGUGUUUUUUUCUGUCUGAAACAUAUUUGUUUUUGUACGUCUUUCUGAAACUUUUUUUUAGGGAAAAGAAGUAGUAAAAGACUUGUUUGUGUGUUAGGGGGUUAAAAAGUAAAUAAACUUUUGAAGUAAAAUAAAAAUCAUAGGUAAUUUGUUAAAUUGAUUGGUGUAGAACGCGACAAAUAAACUUCCGAAAUUGAUUGUGCACUUUCUUUCUGUCGAGUGAGAAUCUUUUUUCUUCGUUGUUUCUUUUUCCAAUGCGAUAUCUACGAUGAGUGGUCAACUGACGAACUAAUUUUUAUCUUUGAUUUCUCAAUUUAUUCCAAUUCCAAUUUGCUGAGAGCCUAAUCAUAGCAUUAUUCUGGAUAAGUUCUAUGUGAAGAAUUGUUUAAAUUCACAGCUUGUUUCUUUUCGAUUUUUGUCAAUCUGAUGCCUUUAAAUGAUUUUUUCCCUCGAUUCGUCUAAUGUAUAAUUUUUUGAUAUUGCAGGUCCAAAAUUUGGAAAUUUUCUUCUGUCCUUUCCAAGAACUACUCCAGAAUAUAGCAGCACGACUCAAUACCGUAUCCAGCU
rnacentral:lncRNA from 1 species